rnacentral:rRNA from 1 species
UACAGAGGUCUCAAGCGUUGUUCGGAUUCAUUGGGCGUAAAGGGUGCGUAGGCGGCGCGGUAAGUCAGGUGUGAAAUCUCGGGGCUUAACUCCGAAACUGCAUUCGAUACUGCCGUGCUUGAGGACUGGAGAGGAGACUGGAAUUUACGGUGUAGCGGUGAAAUGCGUAGAUAUCGUAAGGAAGACCAGUGGCGAAGGCGGGUCUCUGGACAGUUCCUGACGCUGAGGCACGAAGGUCAGGGGAGCAAACGGG